rnacentral:rRNA from 1 species
AUUGAACGCUGGCGGCGUGCCUAACACACGCAAGUCGAUCGGUAACAGGUGUAGCAAUACAUGCUGACGAGAGGCGGACGGGUGAGUAACGCUUGGGAAUCUGCCUAUUAGUGGGGGACAACCCGGGGAAACUCGGGCUAAUACCGCAUACGCUCUACGGAGGAAAGCCGGGGACCGCAAGGCCUGGCGCUAAUAGAUGAGCCCAAGUCGGAUUAGCUAGUUGGUAGGGUAAUGGCCUACCAAGGCGACGAUCCGUAGCUGGUCUGAGAGGACGACCAGCCACACUGGGACUGAGACACGGCCCAGACUCCUACGGGAGGCAGCAGUGGGGAAUAUUGGACAAUGGGGAAACCCUGAUCCAGCGACGCCGCGUGGGUGAAGAAGGCCUGCGGGUUGUAAAGCCCUUUCGGUGGGAAGAAAGCCUCGACCUAACACGUCGGGGUAUUGACGUAACCCACAAAAGAAGCACCGGCUAACUCUGUGCCAGCAGCCGCGGUAAU